UGAUGUUUGUUGCAGGAAUAG
rnacentral:misc_RNA from 1 species